rnacentral:tRNA from 1 species
UGACUGGAGCUGGGUAAAGAGAAGAACGGAGGACUCCAGGGAGGCCACGGUUCUCCUAGAGCUGAGAGGAAGAGUGAAAGGUAAUCUGAAGCUAGAUAAUCUACAGUCCGAUGAUUAUGGAAUGGAAGCCCAUACAAUAUGAAGAGGCCGAAGCCCCAACUGGAAACGACGGAGCGAUUUCCCCUGCUGCCAUCAGUCUCAAGAAUUUUUCCAGGUCAAGAAGUACAACGUAUUUAGAAACCGGACAUGUGGAGCGGAAGGAAGAAGAAAAUAAGAAAAAAACAAAAACAGGGCUCGUCCGGGAUUUGAACCCGGGACCUCUCGCACCCUAAGCGAGAAUCAUACCCCUAGACCAACGAGCCACUGCUGUAAGUGCCCCCUCGACUCUCUUUCUAAGGAGAUCCGGCGGCGCCAUGGAGCCUGCGCAGUUCAACCCUGGGCCUCUCUUGCACCUGCGUCCAGCGCCCGCAACAAGCUCAAGACUCCGCGUCCGCUCGAUACAACCCAGACGCCGAGAUUCUUUCUUUUGCCUGCGAGCUCUGCGUCCGGACGUGGGGACAACGCACCCAGCCGUCGUGCGCUAGGGAUAUGUGCCUGUCUGCAGACGGAGCUGCGGGUUUACACCGGGUCUCGGCGCUCGCGCUGGACCUCGGGAGGGUGCUGGCCGCGGGGUCCCCCCCGCGCCGCCUAGCCUUUGCGGAGCUCCCUACCGCGGUCUCACGCCGCCAGCAUCAGUACCAGCACUGUCGCGCAGCCCGGGCCUUGGGCUCCUGGACGUCUGGCUUUAUGCGAAGAUAACCGGAGUUGGCGAGGCUUCGGCCUGAAAUUUCAUCCGGGCUGGGUCAGGUGUGCAGAUUCCUUCGUUUAGCACCGAACUUGGGCGGAACUCCCGUCCUCGCCAGGGGGGCCUCCUAGCACGGGGCGUGCCUGGCACCUCUUCCCGCCCGUCGCCUCUGCGUCCCCGGGCCCAGGAUUCUACGCUCCCUGAGAGGCCUCUGUGCGCAGCAUGGAUUCCAGACCCCCCAAGAGAAACAGGGGUUCCCUGGAGCCCCUCCACCGUUUGUCUCCUCUGUGUCCCUGGGAAAUGUAGCCGGCGUGUUUGGGCUGCCCGCCCCGUGAAAUGGGGGUAUCAAGGUCUGCCCGCUCUCUUCCGGAGAGGGGGAGGGAGGGAGGAGGAGCUGCGGGGUCCCCACCAUCGCACGCACGCCCCUGAGAGGGAAAGGUUGGUGGCAGUGCUGGCCCCCAGUACACAUGCCACCAGCCGUCCAGCCGAUUCCAGCCAAUUUCCAUUGCUUGUCAUUCCUCACACACACACCCCUGACUUACGCUGGGGACACUGAGACAACAAGGCCCGGGAAGGACUUUUGCAAACCCCUUACAGCUGUGCCUGCGUCUUCGGGGUUCGCUGAGCCUCGCACUUCCUUAUUCCCAGGUCUGAGGAAGUGCGGGCAGGAAGAAAUAUCUCAAGCUGGUCUGCUGGAAGCGUUUGUAAAGCUUCUUUCACUCCACAGCGCGAUGUGCCUGGCGCCUGCUCUGCCCCAGCCCUGGGCUGGGCCUUGGGGACACUGAUGAGUCAGACCUGCCUCCCGAACCCCCUGCCCAGUGGCGGCCACAGUGGCUGCGCCCUCUGCCCAGCCCAGGGCUGUGGGCUGGUCUGCAGGACCUCAGUCUGGGCCUUGGCUGGCUGUGGUUGCUGCUGAAGGAGGCUGUGGCCUGGACGCAAACCGGGGACCUCACCUCCUCGGCCUAGGCCCUCCACACCCCCAGAAAGGCCUUCUUCCUGGACAGUCCACACUGCUGCAGGCCCUGCAGGGGCUUCCUAGGGGCCUUGGGCAUAAUGAUGAGCUCUUAGCCUGCCACUCUCAGCCCUGAGACCUGAACCCCCUGCCCACUGUCACCUCUCAGCAGGCCCCCUCACUCCAUCUUGAACACCCCAGGCCAUGGUUCCAUUCAAAGCUGCCAUUCCAUGGAGGGUGCCCCCGGCUUCCUGUAAAUUCCCAGCUUUGCCCUUUCUGCUCCAGCACGUCCUCCACAAGGCAGACCCAAACUGGGUCAGGGCCUCCUCUGGUGCCCUCAGCUCCUGCGUUCCCUGUCACCCUGGCUGCCUGACCCCUGCAUACAUCUGUGUCUCCACCAGUGGGGUGGAGGGAAAGGGUUCCCGAGGAAGGACACGGGCCAGGUCAGCAGAGGGCCGGGCCCAGAUGACCUGUGGAGAGGGUUUGUUAAAUGAGUGCUAUUUUGUCUCUUUUCUAAAAGCUGAAACCAAAGAAAAACGUCACAACAGCUCAAAGCCUGGUCGGAGUCAGAGGUUCGAGAACAGCUCGUUUGCCCUCUCAAUCGGCACAAAAUGCCUGUCAGCCACGAAACGUCCGAGGGGGCUUCUCUGGCCCCUCUGUGACAGCUGGGGCCCUUGGAGAUGACUUCACUGGACAGGGGUCAGGCAGAGCAGGAGGGGCCCAGGAGGAGGUGACAAGGCGACUUUCUAACCAAAAGGGCUUCCGGCUCAGAGGCCUCAGUGUGGACUAAGUAGGCCCAGGAAUGUCUCGGGGAGGCCAUAUAGAGGCCAGAGCAUGGGAGAUGGCCAGGGGCAGCCCACAGCCCUGCGCUGGGAGCUGCAGGAGGUACACAGAGUGAUAAGCUGAUUCCUAAGGCGCUCUGUGCAGCUAGCGUGCGGGUGCUCCAGGGAGAAGAGGAUGAGUGGGGAGAGAAUGGGAAGGCAGGGAGGAGAGCAGGGAGCCGGAGGUGAGAGCGAGGAGGGGCCAGGGAGAAUGAAAACCCAGGCUGUUGGUGGUUUCUUCUUUUUUUAAGAGCCACAAGCUGAGAUCAAAGGUGAUAUUUUUGCAGCAACUGAAAUAGAAAACCACUGCGCGCACAGUGGGAGGUUCCUGCGAGGGUUGGAGAAGAUGACAUUUGUGCCCAGCCCAGAACAUGUACUGAGCUGGCCAUCAGCACGCAGCUUGUCCCUCUCUCCUCCCCCUCCCUGCUACUACCUCCAUGGAAAGACCAGCUCUGGGCCCAGAAAACAGUUGAAAGAAGAAGAAAUAAGUUCCCAAAUGAUCACAAUGCAUUUGUCCUCCAGCCUCCCUGCCCUUUUCCAGAUCUCCUUGCAAUAGCCGCCCGGGCUGGGGCUUCUGGGGGAACUCUGGCACCUGCUCCAUCCAAGUUGGGAGGUAAGUAAGCUACGAAGGGAAGAGGAGGUGUCCUCUGAGCCACCACCGCCGCCCGGGGGGCCGCCAUCAGCCAAGCCUCUGCACACCCGCCUGCUGCGAGGCAGUCUGGCCUGGACAUCUGAAGCUCGUUAGCGGCCUGCUCCCGGGGGGCUGACCCUGCUUGGCGAGAGUUAUCCCAGACACAGCCGCAGAGGAUGGAGCCAACGAAGACCAGGUGAGGUGUGGCCACAGACGGGGGAACACAGUCUCUGGAGUGGCCUCUGGGGACCCCUGGAGAGCAGAGGAGGCUGAGAGAACGCACCGAGCCUGGGCCCAGCUCCAGCCCAUCCACUGGCUCCCAGCUUUGCAAACUGGAGAUGGGGGGUGGGAGGGGACCCCUUUCCCUCUUUGGACCUCUGUUUCCCCAUGUGUGCCUUGGAGGAGGGGCAAACAUGGCAGACGCUGAGGACCUUCCAGCCCUGACACUGUGGGGUCUCAGCCUGGCCUAGAAUUCCCAGCCUCUGAGGUUUAGCCCAGAGCUGGUGAGUGAGGGCUGGUGGGUGGAAGACAAUUCAGGGAUGGAGAGCCAUGAUGCCUGCCUCAGGCCUGAAGAUCAGAGGGGAGCCCAUCUCCAGAAAGUGAUGUCGCAUUUCAGAACAGUCAGGGAGGUGCCCUCUCGGUAUCCGUAGGUGGCAGAGACGGCGUGAGCUGAGCCUCCUGGAUGCAGGGGCUCCCACUGGACCGAUGGCCAAGUUCAAGACCCUCCUCCCUUUCUGGACCCAGCACUCCGCCCUGCUGUCCAGCUAGGCCACAGCUAACUUUCACUGGCUCCUUGUUUUAUUCCAGGCACUGUUCUAAACACUAUACACAUAUUCAAAUCAUUUGACCUUUCACUGGGUGGCAGGACCUGGGUGAGGGACCAGCCUGGAGUCUGGCCCUUAUCUGGUUGGUCCUGAUGUUGACCUUUCUCAAGAUGCCUAGGAAGGUCAGACAGGCUGGCCCUAACCAUGUCGCUCAAGGUCAAUGCCUCCUCCCAGCACUAUUGUAAGCAACCCCGGGCCGGCUCCCUUUCUGCUGACAGGAGUGCUCUUGUCCCCUCCCCCGUCUCCUUCCCUCCUGGGAGCUGGGUCUCUGGGAAGCUGGGGCCUGGAGGGCCUGGAGUCUGAGCAAAGGGGCGAGGAGGGCUUGUGCAGAGGGCUGUUCACGCAGACCUUGGUGAAACCUGAUGGACUGUCUCCACUCCGCAGAGAAGCCCUCUGGGGACUGGGAUGGGCACGUCCCUCAGACAGUUCUUCCCUUCUGGACAGUGUUGGAUGUGCACACAGCCAAAGUGGGCUUCUCUGGACCUUGGCUCUGCUCUGGACACCUCACUCCUUGGUUACUGCAUUCUUUCUUUGGCUGGGUUAACAUCUGUGAUGACCAGGCUGGAGAGCUGUGUCCGGAGCCAGGGAGCAUUUUGAGUCUCUUACUUCUCACUGGGCAGCCUCCUUACUGGCAUUUCUAACAAAGGCCCAGAGAGAGGUGGGGACCUACCCAAGCUCACACAGACAGUCAGGACUGAGACAACCUGGAUUCCCAGCGCGUUCCCAAUUACAUGGUUUAUCACUUUCAAAUAUGAAAAAUGAAUUAUAUCACUGCAGAAAAAUUAGAACAUACAGAUAAGAAAAAGCAAAAAUAAAGAUACCUUUGGUUUGUUUCUCAGAGAAACUUCCACUGCCCUUCCCCGUCCCUUCUCUCCACUCCCCCAGCCCCAGCCAUAAUCAAUACCUCGCCUCCUUUUGCCAACAGCUGGUCCCUGAGGAACAAGCCUUGACAGCAGGUCCUGGAAGACAGCCUUAGACCGGAUUCUGGAAAGGCCUGGCGUCUCUUCCCGAACAGCAGAGCUUCCGCCCAAACGGAACUGCUUAAGUGCAGGAUACA